CAGUCGAACGAGGGUCCUUCGGGACUCGAGUGGCGAACGGGUGAGUAACACGUAGGGAACCUGCCCGUGCGACCGGGAGAACUUUCGGAAACGGAAGCUGAUACCGGAUAGGGACAGAGACGGCAUCGACUCUGUGUUAAAGGAGCUGAAAGGCUCCGCGCACGGAUGGACCUGCGGUGCAUUAGCUAGUUGGUGAGGUAACGGCCCACCAAGGCGACGAUGCAUAGCCGGCCUGAGAGGGCGGACGGCCACACUGGGACUGAGACACGGCCCAGACUCCUACGGGAGGCAGCAGUAGGGAAUUUUCGUCAAUGGGCGCAAGCCUGAACGAGCAAUGCCGCGUGAACGAGGAAGGUCUUCGGAUCGUAAAGUUCUGUUGAAGGGGAAAAAGAGCGGAGAGAGGAAAUGGUCUCCGAUUGAUAUUACCCUUCGAGGAAGUCACGGCUAACUACGUGCCAGCAGCCGCGGUAAUACGUAGGUGGCGAGCGUUAUCCGGAAUGAUUGGGCGUAAAGGGUGCGUAGGCGGCCUGCUAAGUCUGGAGUGAAAGGUACCGGCUCAACCGGUACAGGCUCUGGAAACUGGCGGGCUAGAGAGCAGGAGAGGGCGGUGGAACUCCAUGUGUAGCGGUAAAAUGCGUAGAUAUAUGGAAGAACACCAGUGGCGAAGGCGGCCGCCUGGCCUGUUACUGACGCUGAGGCACGAAAGCGUGGGGAGCAAAUAGGAUUAGAUACCCUAGUAGUCCACGCCGUANACGAUGAGGACCAAGUGUUGGGGANGACCCAGUGCUGCAGUU
rnacentral:rRNA from 1 species